GCUUGUCUCAAAGAUUAAGCCAUGCAUGUCUAAGUAUAAACAAAUCUAUACUGUGAAACUGCGAAUGGCUCAUUAUAUCAGUUAUAGUUUAUUUGAUGGUUCUUGCUACUUGGAUAACCGUAGUAAUUCUAGAGCUAAUACAUGCAUCAAACCCCGACUUUUUGGAAGGGGUGUAUUUAUUAGAUGGAAACCAAUGCGGGGUAACCCGGUGUUUGGUGAUUCAUAAUAACUUUCGGAUCGCAUUUGCGAUGCAUCAUUCAAGUUUCUGCCCUAUCAGCUUUGGAUGGUAGGGUAUUGGCCUACCAUGGCAUUAACGGGUAACGGAGGAUUUGGGUUCGAUUCCGGAGAGGGAGCCUGAGAAAUGGCUACCACAUCCAAGGAAGGCAGCAGG
rnacentral:rRNA from 1 species